GACGUAGGAUCCGAGUGUUGUCCGGAGUUACUGGGCGUAAAGCGCGCGCAGGCGGACACGCGCAUCGGCGGUGAAAACCCCCCGCUCAACGGGGGAGGGUCCGUCGAGAUGGCGUGUCUGGAGGCAGGGAGAGGCCAGUGGAAUUCCGGGUGUAGUGGUGAAAUGCGUAGAGAUCCGGAGGAACACCAGUGGCGAAGGCGGCUGGCUGGACCUGACCUGACGCUGAGGCGCGAAGGCGUGGGGAGCGAACGGG
rnacentral:rRNA from 1 species